rnacentral:rRNA from 1 species
AGUGAACGCUGGCGGUAGGCCUAACACAUGCAAGUCGAACGGCAGCACAGUAAGAGCUUGCUCUUACGGGUGGCGAGUGGCGGACGGGUGAGGAAUACAUCGGAAUCUACUUUUUCGUGGGGGAUAACGUAGGGAAACUUACGCUAAUACCGCAUACGACCUACGGGUGAAAGCAGGGGAUCUUCGGACCUUGCGCGAUUGAAUGAGCCGAUGUCGGAUUAGCUAGUUGGCGGGGUAAAGGCCCACCAAGGCGACGAUCCGUAGCUGGUCUGAGAGGAUGAUCAGCCACACGGGAAGUGAGACACGGUCCAGACUCCUACGGGAGGCAGCAGUGGGGAAUAUUAGACAAUGGGCGCAAGCCUGAUCCAGCCAUACCGCGUGGGUGAAGAAGGCCUUCGGGUUGUAAAGCCCUUUUGUUGGGAAAGAAAAGCAGCAGGUUAAUACCCCGCUGUUCUGACGGUACCCAAAGAAUAAGCACCGGCUAACUUCGUG